rnacentral:lncRNA from 1 species
UGGGAUCGAGCUACGAAUCGGUUGGACCGUCUCAGAUUAGAAUACGAGAUAGUCUCGGAUUCACAUAAAAAGAAUUCCAGCUACGAAUCGAAUUUGACAUUCCAUAAACUGUCGUAUUUUUUUUUUUUCUUUCUUUAUUUUAAAACGGGGCUUCUUUUUUUUUUUUAUAAGAAAUGCAAAUUUUUCUUGAUUUCUUUAAUGGGUCCCAUAAACCACAAUGGUCCCGAUUGUAAGGGCCCCAUGCGCACUACCUUAGGACAAGCAAAC